rnacentral:lncRNA from 1 species
GGUGUCCAACUACUACUACUACUAGCAAGAUACUAGAAAGGUGUACCUAAUAAAGUGUCUGCUAAGUGUAAGUUAAUACAAGUUAAGUUGUAAGUUAAUGCAAACAGGUUGCCAGAUAAAUGUUAAUACCACAAUAUUCAUGUACAAACACACACACACACACACACACACACACCAUAUUUCGGAUUCUUUCCCCUCAGCUAGCUUAAUAUCUGAAAACACUUUGGUAGCUAUUUGGUAUUUAAGGGCAAUGUUUUAAUUCCAGUUCCUCUUCAUUAAACUGAAAGCACAGACUGUAUUUUUUAAUUGAUAUAUAUAUAUAUAUAUAUAUAUAUAUAUUAAUAACUACAAUACACUGAAAGAGUUAACUGUUAACAAGUCGUCAGGGGAGACUAUCCUAAACUCCAGUUCAGGUUUUCCAAGCAACACCUGCUAACCGAGAAAUUCAAUUAAGGGCUCCUCUUCCCACUUGGAGCCGGUCUCCAGGGCAGAUCUUCCGGCCAACUCGCCCUGUAAGAAAUUAGAAAAUGCUACAAUAAAACCUGAAAAAACUGAAAAAAAUGUGGGAACUUUAAUAAUGAAAGCUCUCACACCGGCCACCGUAAGCACACUCACACCUCCCCUGAGUUGGAAGUCACCGAGAGACAGCGAAGUAGCACAGAUCAUUCAAGGAAAGCCAUCUUCUAUAUUAAAAAUGCCACUGAUAGUACAACACCAGAAAUCAGAUGGCAGUAGAGUGAGCAUCGGCCAGAGGCGAUAACUCCUCAGCGGAUUAGUCUUCAGCAGACAUUAUUCAACAGGAAGAUGAGGUGAGCUCCUGUACGCAGUGACUCCCCAGGAAGAGAAAACGAGGUAGGACAAAUCCCCAACAUGACUGAUUACUGUCCCCACCAUCUCCCCUGUUCAUAUCUCCAACAAUAUCAGGCAUCUUCAUUAAUCCCCGUGGAUCAAUGUGUCUGGGGGUUGUAAAAAUUGACAAAUGACUUAUUAGAAUCCCACCGUUUUAUUUUCCAACUGAUUAACUCACAGCGAUGUUGUACACUAUACAGGCUCACUGAUGUAUCUGUUUUCCAGAGAGGGCCCCCUCGCUCUCUCUUUCUCUCUCUCUCUCUCUGUGCCUUUCUUACUGUGGGUGAUCUAUACGGAACCAAAUGCACUCCUAACACUGCGUGUGAAACCCUGUCAGGCUGACGCAAAAACUACUACAACCGAAUUAUGCUUUUUCCUAUAAAUACACCCAUUUUGUUUCCUGACAUAAACAGCUGUUGAGAAGUGUGUUAGCUGACUUGCUUAUUUACAUAUAGAAUAUAAAAAUACAACUAAUAAUCUAUUAGAGAACUGGAACUUUGCACUGGCGGUAAUAAAAUCAGCAUGUUAUAGUGCUGCGGUUUCUCCAUUUUUGCACGCUAUACUCUUCUUAUCUGGGGAACCGUUCUUUUAUGCCUGUUUUAUGUUUAGAUGUUGUUGUAGCAGCAUCCCACAUUGUCAUCUCGACGAAAU